rnacentral:piRNA from 1 species
UGACAGUUAUUAAAUUAUUUUGGGAACC